GCUAGUGUGGUGUAAUGGUUUGGGUGUUGGACCAUGAAUCUGGAGACCCUGGGUUCGAUUCCCCACUCAGCC